rnacentral:rRNA from 1 species
UGCGUAGGUGGCUUUGUAAGUCAGUGGUGAAAGCCCGGAGCUUAACUCCGGAACUGCCAUUGAUACUGCUUAGCUUGAAUCAGGUUGAGGUGGAUGGAAUAAUACAUGUAGCGGUGAAAUGCUUAGAUAUGUAUUAGAACACCGAUUGCGAAGGCAGUUCACCAAGCCUGCAUUGACACUGAGGCACGAAAGCGUGGGGAUCAAACAGGAUUAGAUACCCUGGUAGUCCACGCCCUAAACGAUGUAAACUCGACAUUAGCGAUAUACUGUUAGUGUCCAAGCGAAAGCGUUAAGUUUACCACCUGGGAAGUACGACCGCAAGGUUGAA